AAGACCUGGGAGCCUGGAAAUCAGGACACCGGGUUCAGGUCCUGCAUUCACGGGCCACCUGACCUUAGGUACUGCCUGGCCUCAGUUUCCCCAUUAGAGCAUGAAGGAGUUCAACAUGAUGACCCCUCCAGUCCUGACGCAUUCCGACAGAUUCCUCUGCUUGGAAUCCAGUGUCACGGGGAUCUACCUACCCUACUAUCCUGGAAGAAACUUCCUUGUGGAAUGCUCCUGGCCAGGCUGGGAUGCUGCCGCUCGAAAGCCUCUCCCUACUGUUCCCUGGCAGUCCUUGGAAAGGGGAUGCUCUCAUAAUGAUGGAAGGGCCCUUCAUGACUCCUCUUCCUUCCCCACCUCACCUCAUCAAGUCAUGUGCAACUGGAAUUGUCCACCCCAUCCC